GACGAACGCUGGCGGCGUGCUUAACACAUGCAAGUCGAACGGAAAGGCCCCUUUGGGGGUCCUCGAGUGGCGCACGGGUGAGUAACACGUGAGUAACCUGCCCUUGUCUUCGGGAUAACUUCUGGAAACUGGGGCUAAUACCGGCUAGUAAUCCUUUCUGCAUGGUUGGUGUUGGAAAGCUUCGGCGGUUUUUGAUGGACUCGCGGCUUAUUAGCUUGUUGGUGAGGUAGUGGCUUACCAAGGCGUUGACGGGUAGACGGCCUGAGAGGGCGACCGGCCACAUGGGGAAGGAGAUAAGGCGCAGAAGCCUAGGGGAGGAAGCAGGGGGGAAGAAUGGACAAAGGGAGGAAGCCUGAGGCAGCAACGACGCGGGCGGGAAGACGGAAUUCGGGUUGUAAACCGCUUAAAGCAGGGGCGAAGCUUGUGGUGACGGUACCUGAAGAAGAAGCACCGGCUAACUACGUG
rnacentral:rRNA from 1 species